CUACGGGUGGCAGCAGUAGGGAAUAUUGGACAAUGGGCGAAAGCCUGAUCCAGCAACACCGCGUGCACGAUGACGGCCUUCGGGUUGUAAAGUGCUUUUAGAGGAGAUGAGAAGGGACAGUAUCCUCUGAAUAAGCCUCGGCGAACUACGUGCCAGCAGCCGCGGUAAAACGUAGGAGGCAAGCGUUAUCCGGAUUUAUUGGGCGUAAAGCGCGUGCAGGCGGUCUAGCAAGUUGGAUGUGAAAGCUCCCGGCUCAACUGGGAGAGGUCGUUCAAUACUGUUAGACUAGAGAAUAGGAGAGGGAGGUGGAAUUCCGGGUGUAGGGGUGAAAUGCGUAGAUAUCCGGAGGAACACCAGUGGCGAAAGCGGCCUCCUGGACUAUUUCUGACGCUAAGACGCGAAAGCUAGGGUAGCAAACGGGAUUAGAUACCCUUGUAGUC
rnacentral:rRNA from 1 species